rnacentral:tRNA from 1 species
GGGGAUUUAGCUCAGCGGCAUAAGCACCUGCCUUGCAAGCAGGCAGUCAAUGAGUUCGAUCCCCA